CAGCGUUCGCCGGGUGGGAAAAUCAGGCAAGGCGGGAGGCUCUGCACGGUGCUAGGCCUCGACACCCAACACGCCACUCUGAGGCGAGCGAGCACUUCUCCUGUUCUCCCGUUGGGCUCAGAAGCUCGCAGGGGUCGUGCUCGUGACCCACGUGAGCCGGGAGGCCUGCCGGUGGCGUGUCCUCGCCUUCAGCCUCGCCUGCACACCCAACACGCACGCACAGGAACAGAGAAUCUGGAGACUUUCAAACACCGCAUUUGAGGGGCCUCGCUCCCAUGCGAACUAUGCUCCGCUGUGAAGAUGCGGGCCGCCUACUCUCUACUCUAUAGAUAGAGGAUGAAAGAAUCUCUCCAACGUGUGACUUUGGAGCACCCAAACAAAGAUUGCUCUCUCUCUUGGCAAAACUGUACCACUAUAUUUAUUCUCAGGAGGGCAAAGAGGAACACAUUCACAAUCUCUUAAAGCCAACAACCGCAUUUUGAAGUUAGACAAUUUACAUAUAUGAUUGCUAUACAAGCGUCAUCCAUAAGACACAACUGGUUCGAUUACUGCUGAGACCCAGGUUGAGAAUUUUGUUUCAUUACUGGUGGCUAAAACCUGGAUACAGACCCAGGAUCUCAGUGGUGUGAGCUCAGAGUUCUCACUUCCAAGCCGUGAGUCACCCAGCCUCCUCAAAAAUCAUCAUCAUCACGAUCCAUCUGCAGACAGCCCGUAGGUGUGCGUCGGACAUUUCGUCAUUUGUUUCCACUUUCCUCUGUUUUGUGCCAAUUUGCC